GCCCAUUUCACAGAUAUGGAAACUCAUGUCAGAUCAGAAGAGGAAUUGACCACAGUCCCACAGGAGUGAGUGGUGAAGCCUGGACUUAAGUGCAGGUCAGGCUCCGCCCCCCAAGCCCCAGUACCACCAUUCCCUGGGGAAAGACAGCUCUCUCCAGGACACCCCUGGAAUCACCUGCCUCAAGAGGGUGCCAAGACAGAGGUGCUGAAGGGCAGGAAGAGAACUUCAGCCCCGCAGAACAGACAGUGUCUCCGGCUCCACUACCGCUCACCCCUCACUUGGGCAAGUCGAUAAAAAUCCCCGAGCCUCAGUUUCCUCAUCUGCCAAACGGGACAUAAUGACAACUACCUCCUAGUGUGGCUGGGAGGGCUGAACAGCAGGACAUGUGGAGAGCGGUUGGUACCAUGCCAAGCAUCAAAUAAACAUACCUUUGCUGUGAGCAUUACUA